UAUCUCAUGGUAACCUUGAUUAUCAUUACAA
rnacentral:piRNA from 1 species